rnacentral:rRNA from 1 species
UACGGAGGGGGCUAGCGUUGUUCGGAAUUACUGGGCGUAAAGCGCGCGUAGGCGGACCUGCAAGUCGGGGGUGAAAGCCCGAGGCUCAACCUCGGAACUGCCUUCGAUACUGCAGGUCGUCGAGUCCGGGAGAGGUGAGUGGAAUUCCUAGUGUAGAGGUGAAAUUCGUAGAUAUUAGGAAGAACACCAGUGGCGAAGGCGGCUCACUGGCCCGGUACUGACG